rnacentral:lncRNA from 1 species
UGAUCUGUCGGUGGGAGGGGCCAGGCGGGACGGGCUAGGGAGGCCCCAGAACCCUAAGAUAGGACCAGGGCCUCACUGCUGGCAGCCAAGAAGGAAGAGGAGACCCAGAAUGCCUGGGAAGGGCCAGGUGCAGCUGCAAGUGGCCGGAGGCGUCUGCAAGGUGGGGGACGUGGACCCAGAGCAUGGAGGGAUGGGCCAGGUUUCCGCAGAGGUUGGAAGGAGGCCUCAGACCAGAAGGGGAGGGAGGAGCUGGCUGGUCCCCAUCCGGGACACCUGGACAAGAGGGAAAUUCUGAAGCCCUUGACGGGGAGCCAGCAGCAGCACUGGGCUGGAGGAUAAUGGAGCCGUGCCCAGCGCUGGAGGGAGAGACUUGUUCCCAGCCUUCAAACCAGCCACACAGAGGUCCUGCUUCUGGCACCACAGCCUCUCUGACAGGAGCACCGUGUGGGUGACAGGAGGGAAGAGCUGGGCGGCGGCCAGGAAGCCUCUGCAGACGCUGGCCUCCAGGGGGAGGUCCCAGGGAGCUGCCCCCCCCCCAUGAAGGAAAGGAAAGGAAAGCAGAGGUGAGCCUGAGGUGGGGGGGCCAGGAAGGAGGAAGGACAGUACCAAAAGGGACAGCAGGUAAAUAGAAUACCAAGGUCCGAUGGCAGGAAGCAGGGCACACAGCACAGCAGACGGGGUGUGAGUGGGUGGACUCGCAGGGCCAGCGGCUCCUGGGCUGGAUCUGGAGACCAGCAACAGGCUGGCUGCACUGAACCAGGGGAAGCGGCCUUCUCUGACCAAGCAGAUGCCGCUUGUGUGAGUCCAACCUCAGUCCAACCGGGGACCAGAGAAGUGAGCCUUGCUGUGGGAGAGCCCCGUGGGAACUGCCCGCACAGAACAUUCCAGAGAAGGACGUCCUUGAGACGCCACCCGCAGCAGCUCCUGCUCUGAGCCUCUGCCACCAGGGCAGACUCUGGGGGAAAUGCAAAAUACUAAAAUUGAAAAGUAAGAAAUAGAGAAAUGCAGAUUUUUCAAUAGACCAGUAAAUAAAAUGGUCAAUAAAGCAUUUUCCUCUGAGAAAACUCCAGGUUCAGAUUAUUUUCAAGGUAGAUUUCAUCGACUUUCAAAACACGGAAACAAAGUAUUAUUAACUUAUGUCCAUCUUCCCCCUGCUCCAAAAGGAAAAAGAUGCCGAUCUCAUUUUGCAAGACUCCUGCACGAUUAUUUCUGAAAGCUGGGACAAUGCAGGGGGGAGGGAUGUGGGCCCCAGGACCUACAGACACAGAUGCAGAGGUGUUAAUAAAACAUCAUCUAAUGAUACGCCACAGUGCACUUCCAGAACAGUGUGGCUCAGGAGCAGGAGGGCGGCUCAGCACUGAAAACGUCAGGUAUCAGCACUGUUCGCAGCACUAACACACUCCUGGGAAAACUGAUGGCAUCAACGACAGGAAGCACAUGUGACAAAGUGAAUGACAUCCUCACCAGAAAACAGAACUCCAAGCACUCACCCUGGGACCUCACUUCCUCAACUGGCUUUCUGUUACUUAUGGAAAGUAGUUGUAAAUAUUUUUCUAGUGGAAAAAGUUUAGAUGUCUUCCCUUAAAAAUUAGAAAAGCCCAGAAUGCUCACAGCCACUACUCUGUCCACAUAGCCUGGGACAUCUGGGUCAAUCCUGAAGGGAAGCAAAGGAAUGAUGGAAUGAUGGGUAAGAGACUUGAUGCCUAGGCUCUCUCUCAUCCAGCGAGGAGGUCCACAGAACAAGGUAGGGGAGAGUGUGGCUGCAGAGUCGCUGAUCCAGACCUCCGGAGACCAGGCAGGAAGCAGGUCUGAUCUUACUGCGCAGUUACCGUGUACGUAUAGCCAGGCAGCAGCUAAGCAGGUUCAGGCAGCCACCAGUGCAGCGUCUGCUAACUGUCCUCCAGCGGCCAGGCAAGGAGUGGGCAUGCAGCAAGCGCAGGGACUGCAACACGCAGCCUCACACUAGGGCUGUGCCUACGGGGCAAGCGGUGUGCCGCUCACACACUCACACAGGGGAGUGGUUUGCCACUCAGAUGCCCUUAACGUAUGCCAUGUGUGCAGAACUCCAUGCACGCGUCCCCACAACUUGAGAGCAAGAGAAACAGCUGUCUCAACGGCAAAGACCAUC